rnacentral:rRNA from 1 species
AUUGAACGCUGGCGGCAUGCUUUACACAUGCAAGUCGAACGGCAGCGCGGGCUUCGGCCUGGCGGCGAGUGGCGAACGGGUGAGUAAUGCAUCGGAACGUGCCCAGUCGUGGGGGAUAGCACGGCGAAAGCCGGAUUAAUACCGCAUACGACCUGAGGGUGAAAGCGGGGGACCGAAGGGCCUCGCGCUAUUGGAGCGGCCGAUGUCGGAUUAGCUAGUUGGUGGGGUAAAGGCUUACCAAGGCGACGAUCCGUAGCUGGUCUGAGAGGACGACCAGCCCCACUGGGACUGAGGCACGGCCCAGACUCCUACGGGAGGCAGCGGUGGGGAAUUUUGGACAAUGGGGGCAACCCUGAUCCAGCCAUGCCGCGUGCGGGAAGAAGGCCUUCGGGUUGUAAACCGCUUUUGUUCGGGAAGAAAUCCUCUGGGCUAAUACCCCGGGGGGAUGACGGUACCGGAAGAAUAAGCACCGGCUAACUACGUG